rnacentral:rRNA from 1 species
AGGAUCAUUAAUGGAUUUUACAGAGGGUUGAUGCUGGCAGUUUAUCUGCAUGUGCUCGCUCUUCUGGGUUUAUUUACACCUGUGCACUCAAUUUUUCAAAGGCUUAGGGGUAGAAGCCUGCCUUUGGAACUUUAUAAACCCCCCUAUUUGAGAUUAUGGAUGUUUAUCUGCCACAAGGCAAAUUUUAAUACAACUUUUAACAACGGAUCUCUUGGCUCUCGCAUCGAUGAAGAACGCAGCGAAAUGCGAUAAGUAAUGUGAAUUGCAGAAUUCAGUGAAUCAUCGAAUCUUUGAACGCACCUUGCGCUCUCUGGUAUUCCGGGGAGCACACCUGUUCGAGUGUCAUUAAAAUUCUCAAAUAAAAGGUGGCUUUGCAGCCAUCUCUAUUUGGAUUUGGGCUUUGCUGCAUAUUAAUGUGGCUAGUCUUAAAUAUAUUAGCUGAUCCUUAUUGAGGUUUUGGUUCUACUCAGCGUGGUAAUUAUCUAACGUUGGGGACAGUCUCAGAACUGGCCAUGGCUCUCUCUCUCUGGAUUGCUUCUAGACUGUCUUUGAGGACAAUUGCUUAAUUUCUGACCUCGAAUCAGGUGGGAUUACCCGCUGAACUUAAGCAUAUCAAUAAGCGGAGGAAAAGAAACUAACAAGGAUUCCCUUAGUAACUGCGAGUGAAGUGGGAUGAGCUCAAAUUUAAAAUCUGGUAGUCUCUGGCUGCCCGAGUUGUAAUCUAGAGAAGUGUUUUCUGUGCUGGACUGUGUUUAAGUUUCCUGGAUAUGGAACAUCAUAGAGGGUGAGAAUCCCGUCUUUAACACAGACUGCCAGUGCUCUGUGAUACACUCUCAACGAGUCGAGUUGUUUGGGAUUGCAGCUCAAAAUGGGAGGUAAAUUCCUUCUAAAGCUAAAUAUUGGCGAGAGACCGAUAGCGAACAAGUACCGUGAGGGAAAGAUGAAAAGCACUUUGGAAAGAGAGUUAAACAGUACGUGAAAUUGUUAAAAGGGAAACAAUUGAAGUCAGUUGCAUUUACUUGGACUCAGCCUUACUUUGGUUUGGUGCAUUUCCUUGUGGAUGGGCCAGUGUCCAUGUUGAUUGCUGGAAAAGGGGCUAGGGAAUGUGGCUCUUUUGGGAGUGUUAUAGCCUUGGCUCAUAUACAGUAAUUAAUAUGGAGUGAUACAGCA